AGCUCUUCCAAGAUGGGCAGCCUGUCAACUUGAAGAACCAGAGGGCAGUUCAACAAUUGGAUCCACCUCAAAACUGAUGAAGGAUGAAGAGAUGUAGGAGAAGGAAUGAUCUUUAUCUCUGCAGCCUACUCAAUGUUCAGGUGACAAGGGAGGCAGAGCCGAAUGGGAAAUUAUUUGUGGGUGAAAAUGAAUCCCAGAUUACAGUCAAGUAGAGGAAGGCUCCAGCCAGCCCGUAGCUUCACAGCACUCAGCAGCCCCUGCUCUGGGCUGCAGGGCUGAUCUACACAGAAAUCCCGGAGUGUGACCUCCAGGGUCUUGAAUUCCUGCUUCCAGUUGAAGAGCAAAGACACAGCCCUGCUGGGAAUAUAGGUUUCUGAGGACUCUUGAGUGUGGGUCCUGCUUAUGUCUCCUGCCGCCUUGUCC